CAUUAAAAUCCAUCAGUUUAAAUUAAAGAUACUGUAUGUGUUGUUUUGCAUGGACUGCUUCUCCAUCUCAACACUGCAGAACAUACCACAUCCAGGCACUUUCCGCGGGCAUUGGAGUUGUAGCCAAAUUCCUGGAAGUGUGUGCCGCGUUUUCCUUUCUGUUUUCCACUGCUUCUCAAUCUACCAAAUCCGCGGAUAUCGGACUUCUGCAUCUGCGGUGGAGGAAGGUGGCCGAGAUACAGCGAUGUUCGUCAGACCAUGAGGCAUCGCGAAAACCGGUCUUCUCACGAACACGGCUGUAGCGUCCGAACGGUUUGGCCUACAGAAAGAUGUUCUUCGUUUUGCUCUACGACCCCCACAAGUGUUAUGAGACUCGUCUGAAGUCAGUACCGCCGAUGUGCCAACUUCUGUCUGUAGCGUCUGAAUGGUUUGGACUACAAACGAAUAUGACUCCACUAUGGAAAGGGGAGAUUCUCACAAGCACGAUGGGUGGAGUGAUAACAUUACUAGUUGUGAGAGUCUCCUUUUCCCCGGCUGAGCUGAGAUGGACGUGUGUCUGACCAGUCCCACUGGGGGAGAACCCAGAGGAGUAUCAGCAAAGGAUCAUGGGAGCUAGAGUCCAGAGACAAGUGCUGACUUCCUACAAAGAGGAGCUGGUCAGAGCUGGACAGAGUACUCCUGUGUUUCAGAGACCUACAG